UACAGAGGGGGCAAGCGUUAUUCGGAAUUAUUGGGCGUAAAGGGCGCGUAGGCGGCUUGUUAAGUGGAUGGUGAAAUCCCUCGGCUUAACCGAGGAACUGCCGUCCAAACUGCUUUGCUUGAGACCGGGAGAGGUGAGUGGAAUUCCCAGUGUAGCGGUGAAAUGCGUAGAUAUUGGGAGGAACACCAGUGGCGAAGGCGGCUCACUGGACCGGUACUGACGCUGAGGCGCGAAAGCUAGGGGAGCGAACGGG
rnacentral:rRNA from 1 species